UUGACCUCGAAUCAGGUAGGAAUACCCGCUGAACUUAAGCAUAUCAAUAAGCGGAGGAAAAGAAACCAACAGGGAUUGCCCCAGUAACGGCGAGUGAAGCGGCAACAGCUCAAAUUUGAAAUCUGGCUCUCGGGCCCGAGUUGUAAUUUGUAGAGGAUGCUUUUGGUGAGGUGCCUUCCGAGUUCCCUGGAACGGGACGCCAUAGAGGGUGAGAGCCCCGUCUGGUUGGACACCGAUCCUCUGUAAAGCUCCUUCGACGAGUCGAGUAGUUUGGGAAUGCUGCUCUAAAUGGGAGGUAUAUGUCUUCUAAAGCUAAAUACCGGCCAGAGACCGAUAGCGCACAAGUAGAGUGAUCGAAAGAUGAAAAGAACUUUGAAAAGAGAGUUAAACAGUACGUGAAAUUGUUGAAAGGGAAGCGCUUGUGACCAGACUUGGGCUUGGUUGAUCAUCCGGGGUUCUCCCCGGUGCACUCUUCCGGCCCAGGCCAGCAUCAGUUCGCCCUGGGGGACAAAGGCUUCGGGAAUGUGGCUCUCUCCGGGGAGUGUUAUAGCCCGUUGCGUAAUACCCUGUGGCGGACUGAGGUUCGCGCAU
rnacentral:rRNA from 1 species